rnacentral:misc_RNA from 1 species
GAAAUGCGAUAAGUAAUGUGAAUUGCAGAAUUCAGUGAAUCAUCGAAUCUUUGAACGCACAUUGCGCCCGCCAGCACUCUGGCGGGCAUGCCUGUUCGAGCGUCAUUUCAACCCUCAGAACCCCUUGCGGGAUCUGGCGUUGGGGAUUGGCAUCCAGCCAGCCCCGAAAUCUAGUGGCGGUCCCUCCGCGACCUCCCCUGUGCAGUAGCGAUACCUCUCAGCGGGACAGCGGUCUGACCACGCCGUAAAACCCCCAACUUCUCAAGGUUGACCUCGAAUCAGGUAGGAAUACCCGCUGAACUUAAGC